rnacentral:misc_RNA from 1 species
AAGUCGUAACAAGGUUUCCGUAGGUGAACCUGCGGAAGGAUCAUUAACACGUAUCCAACGUUAAACAACCCUGUGAACUUUCAACGCUCUUGUAACCAGGCGGAACAGCAAUCCCGGUAAAUCAGUGGGCGGAAAAGUUUUGAUUCGGGACCUCUGUCCAAAAGUUACAAUCGAGCUAGGAGCAGUGGCAUGGUUUCCCUAAGCAGUGCAGAAGGAUCCACUGAGUAAGGAUAACGCAUCACGCACAUGUCACAGGGCUAUAUGCCCCUUCAUUCACACCUUGCUCUCUCAUGCCCGCCGGAAACGCCGGGCACAAAAACCGAACAACUGUUAACAAUGGAUAUCUUGGUUCUC